rnacentral:rRNA from 1 species
ACAUUAGAUACCCCUCGUAGUCCAGGGUGUAAACGCUGCAGACUUGGUGUUGGAAGUCCUUUGGGGGCAUUCAGUGCCGGAGAGAAGUUGUUAAGUCUGCUACUUGGGAGUACGUCCGCAAGGAUGAACUUAAAGGAAUUGGCGGGGGAGCACCGCAACGGGAGGAGCGUGCGGUUUAAUUGGAUUCAACACCGUAAAACUCACCAGGGAAGACUGUUACAUGAAAGCCGAGAUGAAGACUCUGCUAGAUUUCAG